rnacentral:rRNA from 1 species
AUUGAACGCUGGCGGCAUGCUUUACACAUGCAAGUCGGACGGCAGCGCACAGAAUCUUGCUUCUUGGGUGGCGAGUGGCGAACGGGUGACUAAUAUAUCGGAACGCACCGAGUAGUGGGGGAUAACUGAUCGAAGGAUCAGCUAAUACCGCAUACCUCUUGAUAGGGAAAGCAGGGGACCAUUCGGGCCUUGCGCUAUUCAAGCGGCCGAUAUCUGAUUAGCUAGUUGGUGGGGAUAAAGGCCUACCAAGGCGACAAUCAGUACCGGGUCUGAAAGGAUGAUCCGCCACACUGGGACUGAAACACGGCCCAAACUCCUACGGAAGGCAGCAGGGGGGAAUUUUGGACAAGGGGCGCAAGCCUGAUCCACCCAUGCCGCGUGUCUAAAAAAGGCCUUCGGGUUGUAAAGGAUUUUUGUCGUGAAAAAAAAGGCUGUUGCUAAUAUCAGCGGCUGAUGACGGUACCUGAAGAAUAAGCACCGGCUAACUACCUGCCAGCAGCCGCGGUAGUACGUAUGGUGCGAGCGUUAAUCGUAAUUACUGGGCGUACAGCGAGCGACAGACGGUUACUUAAGCAAGAUGUGAAAUCCCCUGGCUACACCUGUUGACUGCGUUCUGAACUGGGAGACUAGAUUGUGCCAGAGAGAGGUAGAAUUCCCCGUGUACCAGUGAAAUGCGUAUAGAUGUGGCAGAAUACCCAUGGCGAAAGGAGCCUCCUGGGAUAACACUGACGUUCAUGCUCCAAAGCGUGCGUAGCAAACAGGAUUAGAUACCCUGGUAGUCCACGCCCUAAACCAUGUCAAUUAACUGGUGGGGAACCGGAUUGUUCAGUAGAGUAGCUAACGCGUGAAAUCGACCCCCUGCUGAGUACGGUCGCAAGAUUAAUACUCAAAGGAAUUGACGGGGACCCGCACAAGCGGUGGAUGAUGUGGAUUAAUUCGAUGCAACGCGAAGAACCUUACCUGCUGCUUGACAUGUACGGAAUUUUCCAGAGACGGAGGAGUGCCUUCGGGAGCUGUAACACAGGUGCUGCAUGGCUGUCUGUCAGCUCGUGUCGUGAGAUGUUGGGUUAAGUCCCGCAACGAGCGCAACCCUUGUCAUUAGUUGCCAUCAUUCAGUUGGGCACUCAUAAUGAGACUGCCGGUGACAAUCCGGAGGAAGGUGGGGAUGACGUCAAGUCUUCAUGGCCCUUAUGACCAGGGCUUCACACGUCAUCCAAUGGUCGGUACAGAGGGUAGCCAACGCCGCGAGGUGGAGCCAAUUUCACAAACCCGAUUGUAGUCGGGAUGGCGUUCUGCAAUUGGAGUGCAGGAAGUGGGAAUCGUUAGUAAUGCCAGUUCAGCAUACUGCGGUGAAUACGUUCCCGGGUCU